rfam:Octopus bimaculoides Scaffold74751_contig_37, whole genome shotgun sequence.
GGGGAUGUAGCUCAGUGGUAGAGCGUUCGCUUCGCAAGUGAAAGGCCCCGGGUUCGAUCCCCGGCAUCUCCA